AGCAGUGGGGAAUUUUCCGCAAUGGGCGAAAGCCUGACGGAGCAAUACCGCGUGAGGGAGGAAGGCUCCUGGGGUGUAAACCUCUUUUCUCAGGGAAGAACACAAUGACGGUACCUGAGGAAUAAGCAUCGGCUAACUCCGUGCCAGCAGCCGCGGUAAUACAGAGGAUGCAAGCGUUAUCCGGAAUGAUUGGGCGUAAAGCGUCCGCAGGUGGCUGUGUAAGUCUGCUGUCAAAGAGCGAAGCUCAACUUCGUACAGGCAGUGGAAACUACACAGCUAGAGUGCGGUAGGGGCAGAGGGAAUUCCUGGUGUAGCGGUGAAAUGCGUAGAGAUCAGGAAGAACACCGGCGGCGAAG
rnacentral:rRNA from 1 species